rnacentral:rRNA from 1 species
AGCGAACGCUGGCGGCAUGCUUAACACAUGCAAGUCGCACGACCGGGUUUCGGCCUGGGAGUGGCGGACGGGUGAGUAUCGCGUAGGGAUUUGUCGUUGGGUGGGACGAACCUACGGUAACGUAGGGCGGUAAUAACCGCCAUGACGCCUCGUGGGCCGAAACGACUCGAGAGGGCGGCCUCGACGAGGAGCCUCGCGUCCG